rnacentral:rRNA from 1 species
UACGUAGGGGGCGAGCGUUGUCCGGAUUUAUUGGGCGUAAAGAGCUCGUAGGCGGCUGUUCAAGUCGAACGUGAAAACUCGGAGCUCAACUCCGAGCCUGCGUUCGAUACUGGACGGCUAGAGUCUGGUAGGGGGACCUGGAAUUCCUGGCGUAGCGGUGGAAUGCGCAGAUAUCAGGAGGAACACCGGUGGCGAAGGCGGGGUCCUGGGCCAGUACUGACGCUGAGGAGCGAAAGCGUGGGGAGCAACAGG